rnacentral:tRNA from 1 species
GCCCCUGUAGCUCAAUAGGACAGAGCAGUGGCCUUCUAAGCCAUUGGUUGCAGGUUCGAGUCCUGCCAGGGGCGCCU